rnacentral:misc_RNA from 1 species
UACGUAGGUGGCAAGCGUUGUCCGGACUUAUUGGCGUAAAGCGCGCGCAGGCGGUCAUUUAAGUCUGAUGUGAAAGCCCCCGGCUCAACCGGGGAGGGUCAGUGGAAAAUGGGAGACUUGAGUACAGAAGAGGAGAGUGGAAUUCCACGUGUAGCGGUGAAAUGCGUAGAUAUGUGGAGGAACACCAGUGGCGAAGGCGACGCUCUGGUCUGUAACUGACGCUGAGGCGCGAAAGCGUGGGGAGCAAACAGG